rnacentral:rRNA from 1 species
UACGAAGGGGGGCUAGCGUUGCUCGGAAUUACUGGGCGUAAAGGGCGCGUAGGCGGACAGUUAAGUCAGAGGUGAAAGCCCAGGGCUCAACCCUGGAAUUGCCUUUGAUACUGGCUGUCUUGAGUAUGGGAGAGGUGAGUGGAACUCCGAGUGUAGAGGUGAAAUUCGUAGAUAUUCGGAAGAACACCAGUGGCGAAGGCGACUCACUGGCCCAUUACUGACGCUGAGGCGCGAAAGCGUGGGGAGCAAACAGG